UAUCUCUGUAGAGUCUGCAUAUCAAUAAGCGGAGGAAAAGAAACUAACUAGGAUUCCCUAGGUAACGGCGAGUGAAGCGGGAAGAGCUCAAAUUUGAAAUCUUCAAGGUUCUACCUUGACGAAUUGUAGUUUAAAGAAGUGUUUUCUGUUGGAGUUUUGGUAAAAGUUCUUUGGAAUAGGACAUCAUAGAGGGUGAGAAUCCCGUAUUUGACCAUUUCUUCCAGCUGUGUGAUACACUUUCAAAGAGUCGGAUUGUUUGGGAAUGCAGUCCAAAAUGGGUGGUAAAUUUCAUCUAAAGCUAAAUAUUGGCGAGAGACCGAUAGCGAACAAGUACCGUGAGGGAAAGAUGAAAAGAACUUUGAAAAGAGAGUUAAACAGUACGUGAAAUUGUCAAAAGGGAAGCGUUUGACACCAGUGUUGUUUCCUCGAAAAUCAAUUAAAAAUGGUUGAUUUUGUGUUGUAUUGACCUUAUAAGCUUUCUGCACUUUUUUCAUGUCUUUUUUAAUGCACUUUUCGUUUAACAAGUCAACAUCAAUUUCUUUUGUUGUAAAAAGGGUAAUAGGAAGGUGGCUUUCACUUCGGCUGCAAGUGUUUAUAGCCUUUGACUUCUGCAAUCGGAGAGAUUGAGGUCUGCAGCGUAGAUCCUUCGGGGUUAGAUACAUUUGUGCUAAGCUAUAGCCUUUUAUAGACAACAUUGUUGACUAUGCUCAGUCAUGUAGCUUACUCGCUUAUGCUAUUUUACCUACGCUUAGGAUGUUGAACGCGCACAGAGUCUC
rnacentral:rRNA from 1 species